CAGUCGAACGAUGAUGCCCAGCUUGCUGGGCGGAUUAGUGGCGAACGGGUGAGUAAUACGUGAGUAACCUGCCCUUGACUCUGGGAUAAGCCUGGGAAACUGGGUCUAAUACUGGAUACUACCUCUUGCCGCAUGGUGGGUGGUGGAAAGGGUUUUACUGGUUUUGGAUGGGCUCACGGCCUAUCAGCUUGUUGGUGGGGUAAUGGCUCACCAAGGCGACGACGGGUAGCCGGCCUGAGAGGGUGACCGGCCACACUGGGACUGAGACACGGCCCAGACUCCUACGGGAGGCAGCAGUGGGGAAUAUUGCACAAUGGGCGGAAGCCUGAUGCAGCGACGCCGCGUGAGGGAUGACGGCCUUCGGGUUGUAAACCUCUUUCAGUAGGGAAGAAGCGAGAGUGACGGUACCUGCAGAAGAAGCGCCGGCUAACUACGUGCCAGCAGCCGCGGUAAUACGUAGGGCGCAAGCGUUGUCCGGAAUUAUUGGGCGUAAAGAGCUCGUAGGCGGUUUGUCGCGUCUGCUGUGAAAGCCCGGGGCUCAACCCCGGGUCUGCAGUGGGUACGGGCAGACUAGAGUGCAGUAGGGGAGACUGGAAUUCCUGGUGUAGCGGUGAAAUGCGCAGAUAUCAGGAGGAACACCGAUGGCGAAGGCAGGUCUCUGGGCUGUUACUGACUCUG
rnacentral:rRNA from 1 species